UUUUCUUCUUAAAGGUUGUGUACCCUUAUAGGACUUCCAUGGAACAGGAGUAAAAGAGCUUGACCAUGAGUUUCACAAAUGCUAUCAUGAAAUACAACUGACAUGGAACUGUUUGCAUUAUCCAAGAUAUCAACAUUGUUCUUCGGUGACCAAAGGCUAUGUAUGCACAUUCAGAAAGAAACAAAGAGCUGAAGUUGGAGCUAUAUUGCACAUAACAGGUUGACAUACUUGUGCUGGAGGAAAUUCACUUCAAUAUUCAGGGAUGUGACUUGACUGAUUUUUUUUGAGGAAAUCCUUUUUUUCAAUUUGAGCUUUAGUUUUCCCCCUCGCCUCUAUCAAAAUCCAUACCUUUUCAGAUAGUUGUUUAGAGCCGCCAUACCUUUUCAGAUAGUUGUUUAGAGCCGCCAGAUAUUAUCUAAUGAUUUUUCACUUUGCUUGGGAAACAAGUUCUCUUUUUUUUAAAGCAGAGUUGUGACCAAAGUUUAACUGAACAUGCAAACUAACAUAGAUAGCUCUUCUGAAGAAAUCUGGGUAAUUAUUCAUGCAUUUCAUCUGCAUGUUUACAAGUGUUGUGUCCAAGUGUAAAUGAAAGUAUAGAAUCUACUGGGACAAUUUAAUUUCUAUUAAGUUCAAGUUAGCAAAAAGUAAUUUAAGUGGUAUUUACACUGCAUGCCAAGCCAAAGGUUGAGGUCUUUGAUUAGCAA